CAAUAUAAUUGAUACGUAUUGGGUUCGACGAGUAAUACAUUAAUUUCUGUAAAUUAAAUACCUGACUGAAAAUAGAUAGUUCAUUCAAUAUUCAAUUCAACACAUAAGUAAAUCCACCAAGGAUAUCGCAACUCAAUAAUAUACAAAUAUUAUAACAAUACUCAAAUUCCUUUUCUAUAGUCUGUUUCUGUCAUUCUUUUCAAUCUGUAACAAUUCAAAAGAACCGUAUUCCGCAAGACGAAUUGACACAACUCUAGGCAAAGAAAAAUAAUACCUAUGCUUGGUCACUGUAUAAAAAGGAGUUUUUAAUUGCAAGAAAUCGGGCAGCAGACCAAGUCUGUAUCAAAAGCGUCUAGUCUCUGCUGAGACAUAAUUGAUAAACAGAAUGUUUAGGUUAGAGCCAGCAAUUUGUAUAGAGAUAUCAAAUUUAAUAGUUUAAAUGUUUAAAAGCCGGAAUGCAAUUAAUUUUAGAAGGUAAAUUCAUAGGGUGGUGGGGUAUCAAAACUCCUCAACGAAUAGUUUUCCACGAGUUAUUGGAAAAUAAUAUCUUAAAUGUACAGAAACAAAAUGUUAAGCAUCAGGAAGGGACAACACAAUCAUAAACACUUGGAGGACCAACCACAAGGCGGAAAUAUUAAGAGUUGCAAGCAUGUCUGAGAGAGAAAGGAACUUGAGGGAAUUUAUAGAAUAGAUCUGCUUCAAGAAUAUUCCUGUAGAACUAGAAGAUUUAACUAGUGCUCUGGAAAAAGCAAGCUAGCGGCCUAGACAUUAGUUUGAUUAUACAGUGUUGUCAUUUUUCUCUCAAGCCUCUGUAUGAAAGGAUUCCAAUUUGAGAAAUGGGGAUUAAACAUGAUUUUACAUUUGUUGGUGAUAUUCUCUAAAUUGCCACAUAUAGGCAUAAAGAUUUGAUUGUUAUUUUUUUGGUUUUUGAUUUAGCAUCUAACCUAUUAUUCUUUGGUAGAGUAAUAUACCAGGCUGAAGCUUGCUUAGAUUUUCACCCAUGCCAAAUUGUAGAGGGUGCCACUACUCUAACUAUCGCCCUAUUUGGAGUCCGACUUAGUUCAUACAACACUUUAAGGCCUCAUCCAAUAAAGACUUUGGAAUACCAGAAUCAACAAUCUUUGUCCUAACUUUAUCCAGUAAAGUUGUAACAUACUGUAAAAGGUUUUUACCAGCUUCAUAUUUAGUUUUUAAUGUUUUUAUCAUUAGGAGAUGAGAAUAAUUAUUUAAUAUAGUUGGAAAGUACUUUUUUCAGCGUAGUUAAACGUAAGUUCGAAGUUAAAGGUCGUUGGUGGGUUUUUUGCUUUUUAUUUUUUGGUUUUGUAACGUGGUGAGUCUUUGGUUCUUUGAUAUGUCGUUUUCUUUAUAUGUGCCUGACCAUUUUCCCAACUGUUAAAUUUGUCUGUUUUUCUUUUUAAAUGCCGUUGAGCAGAUUAUCCCCUACAGAAUCGAAUUGGGUUGCAUUUUUGUUGGGUCUUUGUCGUUUCCGGUUAUUUUACUUAUUAAUUAGUGACUCGUUGUCUAGGCAUAAGUUUCCUUUGUUUUACUAUUUUAAUCUGUGCAGCCUUUACUUUAAUGGCUAACACGUGGUUCUCUGUUUGUGCAAGGGGUACUGUGCCCCUCUGCUGAUGUAUGUAUUGACAAGCCCAGUGAGUUUUUCUUAUUUUUGUGAUAGAGUGUUUCCCUUUUACAUUUUAGUGUCCUGAGAAAGCCUAAAUAAUUGGGCGAAAGCUUGACUUAACAAUAAAAAGAGCAAUGAGCAUUUACAUCUUUUAUUGCUCCCUCUAUAUUAGUCAAUAUUGGGCGAUCCCGUAGUUAUUUUGUGCAACAAGUUACCAGUAGCCCCUAACU